CGGCGGACGGGUGAGUAAUGCCUAGGAAUCUGCCUGGUAUGGGGGACAACGUUUCGAAAGGAACGCUAAUACCGCAUACGACCUACGGGUGAAAGCAGGGGAUCUUCGGACCUUGCGCGAUUGAAUGAGCCGAUGUCGGAUUAGCUAGUUGGCGGGGUAAAGGCCCACCAAGGCGACGAUCCGUAGCUGGUCUGAGAGGAUGAUCAGCCACACUGGAACUGAGACACGGUCCAGACUCCUACGGGAGGCAGCAGAC
rnacentral:rRNA from 1 species